GCUUUUACCACGUCAUUUCAACUGCAGGACGAGGCUUCCCAUGCAAAAUGUCUUCAGUAAACACGAUUCAGAUGGUGUUCUGUUUGGCCAAAGCAGAGCUGUGGGGAGAGUCUUCGUUCCCCCACGUAGCAUCUUCCACCAGCAAGAAAAGCUGAGACUCCUUGGAAUUCAAAAUGUUGAGAAGUGGACAUGAUGCAGAAUGUUCUGUUUUCGUUUCCCAAGUGAUAGAUCCCAGCACCACUGAUGGGUUUCAGCUAUGAGGGUCUCAUCUCUGUGCCCGAAAGACGAGGCUUUGCCAAUGGCGAGAAGUGACACACCGUGUGAUAACCAAAUCGUGACACGAUGGACUGGAAAUUUCAGAUUAAUAAGCCUCUUUCGGAAGAGAACUAAAUAACUUUUGCAGUCUUAUCUAUGGCUAUUUGUUUCUCCGAAGAUUUAUGGUCCUCGCAACAGAUCUGCAUCUUAUCUUUCGCUCCUCAGAUUAAAGGAAGAUGGUGUGAAGCAGGUGUCUGACUGGCAUCAUCUGGAAUUGCAGAUGAUCUUCCUUUAAAAAAACCACACUGCAAGUGAACUUGCAAGUCAAAUGAGAAUAUCAUUGCAUGUGUCAGGGUCUGGGAGAGAAACCUGCAUCCAGCUAAACAGGGCCGUCCCUCUCCUUGUGAC
ensembl:lncRNA